CAAAAGGCCUUCUUAAAGGCCACAAAUCCUAUUAUAAUCCAAAAAA
rfam:Caenorhabditis brenneri strain PB2801 C_brenneri-6.0.1_Cont594.9, whole genome shotgun sequence.